rnacentral:autocatalytically_spliced_intron from 1 species
GAGACUUGAUUUGAUGACACAUCAAAUCAGAGUUCUGGUUUUUAUCAGAACUAACACGCCAACUCCUCAAUUUUUUUGAGGAUGAAGAUAUAGUCCACACUAUUAGUGAUAAUAGAUUAUGUACGAUGUCGGCUCACCAUAGCGCGGGGGUGGAGAAGCUCCCAAGCGUUUGGCUGUUCGCCAAUUAAAAUGGUACGCGAGCUGGGUUUAGACCGUCGUGAGACAGGUUGGUCUCUAUCUGCUGCAGGCGUUGAUGCUUGAGGGAAGUUGGCCCUAGUA